rnacentral:rRNA from 1 species
CCUACGGGAGUCAGCAGUGAGGAAUAUUGGUCAAUGGACGAGAGUCUGAACCAGCCAAGUAGCGUGAAGGAUGACUGCCCUAUGGGUUGUAAACUUCUUUUAUAUGGGAAUAAAAUGUUCCACGUGUGGGAUUUUGUAUGUACCAUAUGAAUAAGGAUCGGCUAACUCCGUUCCAGCCGCCGCGGUAAUACGGAGGAUCCGAGCGUUAUCCGGGUUUAUUUGGUUUGAAGGGAGCGUAGAUGGGUUGUUAAGUCAGUUGUGGAAGUUUGCGGCUCAACCGUAAAAUUGCAAUUGAUACUGGCAGUCUUGAGUACAGUUGAGGUAGGCGGAAUUCGUGGGGUAGCGGUGAAAUGCUUAGAUAUCACGAAGAACUCCGAUUGCGAAGGCAGCUUACUAACCUGCCACUGACAUUGAUGCUCGAAAGUGUGGGUAUCAAACAGGAUUAGAUACCCUAGUAGUC